GAUGAACGCUAGCUACAGGCUUAACACAUGCAAGUCGAGCGAGCUUGCCUAGAUGAUUUUAGUGCUUGCACUAAAUGAAACUAGAUACAAGCGAGCGGCGGACGGGUGAGUAACACGUGGGUAACCUGCCCAAGAGACUGGGAUAACACCUGGAAACAGAUGCUAAUACCGGAUAACAACACUAGACGCAUGUCUAGAGUUUGAAAGAUGGUUCUGCUAUCACUCUUGGAUGGACCUGCGGUGCAUUAGCUAGUUGGUAAGGUAACGGCUUACCAAGGCAAUGAUGCAUAGCCGAGUUGAGAGACUGAUCGGCCACAUUGGGACUGAGACACGGGCCCAAACUCCUACGGGAGGCAGCAGUAGGGAAUCUUCCACAAUGGACGAAAGUCUGAUGGGAGCAACGCCGCGUGAGUGAAGGAAGGGUUUCGGCUCGUAAAAGCUCUGUUGGUAGUGAAAAGAAAAGAUAGAGGUAGUAAA
rnacentral:rRNA from 1 species